rnacentral:rRNA from 1 species
UACGAAGGGGGCUAGCGUUGUUCGGAAUCACUGGGCGUAAAGCGCACGCAGGCGGAUCGAUAAGUCGGGGGUGAAAGCCCGGGGCUCAACCUCGGAAUUGCCUUCGAUACUGUCGGUCUCGAGUCCGGGAGAGGUGAGUGGAAGUCCUAGUGUAGAGGUGAAAUUCGUAGAUAUUAGGAAGAACACCAGUGGCGAAGGCGGCUCACUGGCCUAGUACUGACGCUCAGGUGCGAAAGCGUGGGGAGCAAACAGG